CAAAUCUGACAAGAGGUUUAUGAAUGCUACAAAUACAUAUGCCACCAUCUGAUAUCCUAGAAUGGUUAUUACCAGUGGGUCCCAGAGGAUUUCAUCCCAGAGGAUUUCACUUUCCAGGGGGACUCUGUUCCAUACUAUACAACAUUUAACAGCUUUCCUGGCCUCCACCCAUUAGACACCAGUAUAACUUCCUCAGUUGCAACAACUAAAAAUAUCUCCAACCAUUGUCAAAUGUCUCCUGGGGGAAAAAUCACCCCUUUUGAGAAUUGCUCAGGUGGCUUGGAUGAGUGAAACCUCAUGAUUACUUUUAUUACCUUCCUUCAGUUGCUAAUGAAUAAAGUUCUAACUCGCAUAGUUUUUGUUGUUGGUUGCAUUUCCUCAUUUGUAAAUAUUUUCUUUUUAUUAUACACCAUGCAAUAAUAGCUACUGUUUUAUAAUCAUGUUUUUAUAAUUUGUUAAUGUAGAAUUAUAAUUUUUAGAGUG
rnacentral:lncRNA from 10 species